rnacentral:misc_RNA from 1 species
UUCUUCGAAGCGAAGGAGCUUGCAUACAUUUGAGGUUACAAAGUUGUCAAAUCACUAGUAUAAUGUAAAGCCAUGGAAUCUUUAGCCGUCCAAGAUUUGCUUUGCUUUAGCAAAGAAAGCUUGCUUGUUAUCACGACAAUAAAAGCAGAUACUACACUAAACGUAACAAUGAAUCCUUUAUCUGGUAUAUAAAAUAGAACCUAUGCCAUGCUUUCAUGUACAACACACUUUACCCCUCAGCCAAUAGAAAUGAGGCAUUUUGACGGUCAGCUUGGGCAAUGUAAUUCCAGCAUUCCUUUGGGUAUGAACUCAUUAUUAUUCUCUUCAAACCCUCGGGACUUAGUUUUGUGGCUUUUUAAAUGGAUUAGCAGGACGCUGAGAUUUUACUUGAUUCACAUUUUCUUUCUUCUCUGUUUCUUGAUUGUUUGCUGACCUUACAAAUGGAUUAGCGGGGCGUUGAGAUUGUACUUUCAAAACUUCUGCAAUUUUCACCUGUCCCACACUGUUCACAUUUCCAGCAUUCUUUAACUUCUCUGCAUUCCCUACAUCCAAAUCAGUUUCCUUAUUUGCAGCAUGGCUGGGAUCAGAUUUUUCCGAUUCAUGGUUAUUCACUUUCUUGAUAAACAGAGGUGCUGACAGUUGUGGUGAUGAUAAUGGAAUACCAGGUUCCAAUGUUUCGCUUUUUCCUGAUGAAGAAAAGGUCUUGCUGUCUUUGACAUCAGCCCUCGUAGACACAACACUGCUUGAGUUUAGCAGAGAGUGAUUUAGAGUCUCCUUGGACUCAUUCAGCAAUCUUUCCUCCAAUAUGCUGUUGAAACGCUCUGCCAAAUUAGGAAGCUUCAAGGCAGUAACAAGCUUUAUUGCUCCUUUCACUGAUUUUUCUAGGGAUAAAAGCUUCACAAGUUCAGUAGCUCUUACAAGCUUGUCACCGUUGCAGCAUGAUGCAAUCAGCCUGAGGAUACAUCUAUCCUGAGCCGCUUCCAUAUUGAAUGCCUCAUCAUCAAGUGCAUUGGUAUCCAAACAAGACGCUGCCGUUUCUUCCAUUCUUUUCUGAAUCUGAGAGAGAUGCAUGUUGUUGAGGAUAAACUCAUUUUCAAGGGCAUCAGCUCCCAGAUCAGAGGAAGCAAGAGGAAAUGAAAAAUUCAGUAAUGUAAGGACUGGUUUGGGCAUCACCUGUGGGAACAAGUCAGGACUAUUACAAACAAUGCAAAACAAUUUGCUGGCAUUCAGUCCAACCAUCCAAUAGUUUUCAUCAGACUUCUUCUCUUUAGCAGCACUGAAGAGUGGGAGCCAACUGCCACCAUAUUGACUUGUGAAAACCCUCAAGACACCCUUUGAAUCGUAUGAACUUAAUUGGCCUUCUUCACUAAACCCAAACCACAUUAGAUGUGAGCCUGGGCUUAGUGGAAGACGUCCUCUAUGUGGCUGGGUCCCAUAGGAUAUGUCAAAUACUCUGAACUCUAGCAUCUGAUCAUUUGAGGGAAGACAAUCAGAAACAUGAGUGACAACUGCAAGUUGAUUUUUGAAGCCUGAUGCAGUCACAAUUGGCCCAUCAAGGGAGAGAAUAUGCUUCUGCAAACCACCCUCUGUGUAGAUGCGCAGAAAAUUAAGGCUAGUAACGGCAGCAACCCAAGCAGUGCCAAGAGCCACAACCUUCACUUCUUCCCCCUCAAACCGCAUAGACCACUCACUGUUGUUCGCCCAGCUACCAAAUGGGCGAUACAUAAGAGUACUCAUGUUUUUUUCACCCUUGCAAGGAUUUGCAAAAACACUUCCAUUCUCAUUAAGUGAAGCCAUUGUGAAACCAAAAUAGUCCGUCAUUGAAGGAACUCUUGGACCUCUGCCAGUAUCAUGGAAAUCGAUCUCUAUGUGGGAGUACCCAUCAUGUUCAAUUGUUGUUAUAGUUCCAAGCAUAUUGUAGCACAAAAAGCGCCUCUUCCCAGGCUGCACAGGAGUUGCCCCAGGAUGAAAAGCCUCCUGCAUUUUUGACCUAGCAGAUGUUGCUGUGAUUCUAAUUCCCUCGUUUCCCUUAUCCAUGUUUCCCUUCCCAGCACAAUGCACUUUUUUUCUGGGUUCAGUCUUUGGAAACCAGUUCAACUCAUCAUUGCUGUCUUCCUCAGGUUCUUCAUUAAAUUCAGAUCGUUUCCGUAAUCUUUUCCUGCUUGGCAGUUCAGAUUCUCCAAGGCUGUCUUCCCCAUGAUCACUUAAACUACCAGAUGCACUAGGUUCCUCCUCCUCAUCCUCCUCUUCAAACAAAAGGAGCCCAUUAUUGUUCUUUGACAGCAAACUUGGAAUAUCUUCUGUGGGGGAUUUCAUUGAAGAAGGAACAACUGAUUCCCAAAGACCAUACUUUCCCAUAACAUCAAUAACAGCCAACGCAUUACCAAUUGGCUUCCAUGCCAAACAACAUAUUCUCUCAUCAAAUUUCUGCCUGUCGAUGUCCUGCUUCUUAUCAACAUCCCAUAUCAGAACUUGCCUAUCUAAACCUGAAGUAGCCAUGUACUUGCCAUUAGGUGACCAAGACAAGAAACAUAUAGGUUGCACAUGAUCACCUCUCAAUGAGAACAGUUUUUCAGCAGUGUCUCUAUCAUACAUCACCACAUCAUUUCUUAAACCAGGGACUGCUAAAGUCUCCCCAUCAGGACUCCAGCUAAUUAUAUUCAUGAAGGAAGUGUCUGAAACAGCAUUAGGAGCAAUGCCUUUAAGGUUAUGCAACAUAUUGCCAGACUGUAGUUCCCAGAAUAUGACUGUCCCUAUUGAAUCAGCAGAUGCCAAAUACUCACUUUUAGGGUCAAAAGCCAAGCCAGUAACAGGUCCUUUAUGCCCUUUCAGAACCCUUGCAAUUGAACCAUCAAUUGUAUUAAUAAGUUUAAUGCCUUCAUCAUCACCAGCUGCAGCUAGCAUGCUGCCUGACUUAUUAAAUGCAAGUACACGUGUUGGCAGUGUGAAUCUGGUAAUAUUAGUAUCAAACUCACCACCUGGAAACUUGUAGAGCUUGACGGAAUGAUCAAUAGAUCCGGAGGCGAGGCAGGUGGAAUUUGUGCUGAGAGCUAGGGCUGUAACGCCGUCACGGUGGUGCCGGAGAAUCCUGGGCGCAUCUGAAAGGAGAAGAGUGUCAUGGAUGCAGAUGGUUGGGUCAGAGGAGGAGGCGGUGACCAGGUGUUGGGCCUUUUGGUCCCACAAGAUGGAGCAGAAGGAAGGCUGACUGCCAUUACUGGUGGAGGACUUGUUAGCUUCUCGUAGCUUGAGGGUACGAAUUUUCAUGGUGGUGAGAGAUUUGGAAGAGUGGAAAUGACUUGACCCUGAUUUUG